rnacentral:rRNA from 1 species
GAGUGAACGCUGGCGGUAGGCCUACCACAUGCAAGUCGAACGGCAGCCCAGUAAGAGCUUGCUCUUACGGGUGGCGAGUGGCGGACGGGUGAGGAAUACAUCGGAAUCUACUUUUUCGUGGGGGAUAACGUAGGGAAACUUACGCUAAUACCGCAUACGACCUACGGGUGAAAGCAGGGGAUCUUCGGACCUUGCGCGAUUGAAUGAGCCGAUGUCGGAUCAGCUAGUUGGCGGGGUAAAGGCCCACCAAGGCGACGAUCCGUAGCUGGUCUGAGAGGAUGAUCAGCCACACUGGAACUGAGACACGGUCCAGACUCCUACGGGAGGCAGCAGUGGGGAAUAUUGGACAAUGGGCGCAAGCCUGAUCCAGCCAUACCGCGUGGGUGAAGAAGGCCUUCGGGUUGUAAAGCCCUUUUGUUGGGAAAGAAAAGCAGCAGGUUAAUACCCCGCUGUUCUGACGGUACCCAAAGAAUAAGCACCGGCUAACUUCGUG